AGCGAACGCUGGCGGCAGGCCUAACACAUGCAAGUCGAACGAACCUUUCGGGGUUAGUGGCGGAAGGGUGAGUAACACGUGGGAACGUGCCUUUAGGUUCGGAAUAACUCAGGGAAACUUGUGCUAAUACCGAAUGUGCCCUUCGGGGGAAAGAUUAAUCGCCUUUAGAGCGGCCCGCGUCUGAUUAGCUAGUUGGUUGAGGUAAUGGCUCACCAAGGCGACGAUCAGUAGCUGGUCUGAGAGGAUGAUCAGCCACAUUGGGACUGAGACACGGCCCAAACUCCUACGGGAGGCAGCAGUGGGGAAUCUUGCGCAAUGGGCGAAAGCCUGACGCAGCCAUGCCGCGUGAAAGAUGAAGGUCUUAGGAUUGUAAAAUUCUUUCACCGGGGACGAUAAUGACGGUACCCGGAGAAGAAGCCCCGGCUAACUUCGUG
rnacentral:rRNA from 1 species